GGUUAAGCGACUAAGCGUACACGGUGGAUGCCCUGGCAGUCAGAGGCGAUGAAGGACGUGCUAAUCUGCGAAAAGCGUCGGUAAGGUGAUAUGAACCGUUACAGCCGGCGAUGUCCGAAUGGGGAAACCCAGUGCAAUUCGUUGCACUAUCGUUAACUGAAUACAUAGGUUAACGAGGCGAACCGGGGGAACUGAAACAUCUAAGUACCCCGAGGAAAAGAAAUCAACCGAGAUUCCCCCAGUAGCGGCGAGCGAACGGGGAGCAGCCCAGAGUCUGAAUCAGCUUGUGUGUUAGUGGAACGGUCUGGAAAGUCCGACGGUACAGGGUGAUAGUCCCGUACACCAAAAUGCACAGGCUGUGAACUCGAAGAGUAGGGCGGGACACGUGGUAUCCUGUCUGAAUAUGGGGGGACCAUCCUCCAAGGCUAAAUACUCCUGACUGACCGAUAGUGAACCAGUACCGUGAGGGAAAGGCGAAAAGAACCCCGGCGAGGGGAGUGAAAAAGAACCUGAAACCGUGUACGUACAAGCAGUGGGAGCACCUUCGGGUGUGACUGCGUACCUUUUGUAUAAUGGGUCAGCGACUUAUAUUCUGUAGCAAGGUUAACCGUAUAGGGGAGCCGCAGGGAAACCGAGUCUUAACUGGGCGUUAAGUUGCAGGGUAUAGACCCGAAACCCGGUGAUCUAGCCAUGGGCAGGUUGAAGGUUGGGUAACACUAACUGGAGGACCGAACCGACUAAUGUUGAAAAAUUAGCGGAUGACUUGUGGCUGGGGGUGAAAGGCCAAUCAAACCGGGAGAUAGCUGGUUCUCCCCGAAAGCUAUUUAGGUAGCGCCUCGUGAAUUCAUCUUCGGGGGUAGAGCACUGUUUCGGCUAGGGGGUCAUCCCGACUUACCAACCCGAUGCAAACUACGAAUACCGAAGAAUGUUAUCACGGGAGACACACGGCGGGUGCUAACGUCCGUCGUGAAGAGGGAAACAACCCAGACCGCCAGCUAAGGUCCCAAAGUCAUGGUUAAGUGGGAAACGAUGUGGGAAGGCACAGACAGCCAGGAUGUUGGCUUAGAAGCAGCCAUCAUUUAAAGAAAGCGUAAUAGCUCACUGGUCGAGUCGGCCUGCGCGGAAGAUGUAACGGGGCUAAACCAUGCACCGAAGCUGCGGCAGCGACACUAUGUGUUGUUGGGUAGGGGAGCGUUCUGUAAGCCUGCGAAGGUGACCUGUGAGGGUUGCUGGAGGUAUCAGAAGUGCGAAUGCUGACAUAAGUAACGAUAAAGCGGGUGAAAAGCCCGCUCGCCGGAAGACCAAGGGUUCCUGUCCAACGUUAAUCGGGGCAGGGUGAGUCGACCCCUAAGGCGAGGCCGAAAGGCGUAGUCGAUGGGAAACAGGUUAAUAUUCCUGUACUUGGUGUUACUGCGAAGGGGGGACGGAGAAGGCUAUGUUAGCCGGGCGACGGUUGUCCCGGUUUAAGCAUGUAGGCUGGUUAUCCAGGCAAAUCCGGAUAAUCAAGGCUGAGGUGUGAUGACGAGGCACUACGGUGCUGAAGUAACAAAUGCCCUGCUUCCAGGAAAAGCCUCUAAGCAUCAGGUAACAUCAAAUCGUACCCCAAACCGACACAGGUGGUCAGGUAGAGAAUACCAAGGCGCUUGAGAGAACUCGGGUGAAGGAACUAGGCAAAAUGGUGCCGUAACUUCGGGAGAAGGCACGCUGGUGUGUAGGUGAAGUCCCUGCGGAUGGAGCUGAGACCAGUCGAAGAUACCAGCUGGCUGCAACUGUUUAUUAAAAACACAGCACUGUGCAAACACGAAAGUGGACGUAUACGGUGUGACGCCUGCCCGGUGCCGGAAGGUUAAUUGAUGGGGUUAUCCGUAAGGAGAAGCUCUUGAUCGAAGCCCCGGUAAACGGCGGCCGUAACUAUAACGGUCCUAAGGUAGCGAAAUUCCUUGUCGGGUAAGUUCCGACCUGCACGAAUGGCGUAAUGAUGGCCAGGCUGUCUCCACCCGAGACUCAGUGAAAUUGAACUCGCUGUGAAGAUGCAGUGUACCCGCGGCAAGACGGAAAGACCCCGUGAACCUUUACUAUAGCUUGACACUGAACAUUGAGCCUUGAUGUGUAGGAUAGGUGGGAGGCUUUGAAGCGUGGACGCCAGUCUGCGUGGAGCCGACCUUGAAAUACCACCCUUUAAUGUUUGAUGUUCUAACGUUGGCCCCUUACCGGGGUUGCGGACAGUGUCUGGUGGGUAGUUUGACUGGGGCGGUCUCCUCCCAAAGCGUAACGGAGGAGCACGAAGGUUAGCUAAUCCUGGUCGGACAUCAGGAGGUUAGUGCAAUGGCAUAAGCUAGCUUGACUGCGAGCGUGACGGCGCGAGCAGGUGCGAAAGCAGGUCAUAGUGAUCCGGUGGUUCUGAAUGGAAGGGCCAUCGCUCAACGGAUAAAAGGUACUCCGGGGAUAACAGGCUGAUACCGCCCAAGAGUUCAUAUCGACGGCGGUGUUUGGCACCUCGAUGUCGGCUCAUCACAUCCUGGGGCUGAAGUAGGUCCCAAGGGUAUGGCUGUUCGCCAUUUAAAGUGGUACGCGAGCUGGGUUUAGAACGUCGUGAGACAGUUCGGUCCCUAUCUGCCGUGGGCGCUGGAGAAUUGAGGGGGGCUGCUCCUAGUACGAGAGGACCGGAGUGGACGCAUCACUGGUGUUCGGGUUGUCAUGCCAAUGGCACUGCCCGGUAGCUAAAUGCGGAAGAGAUAAGUGCUGAAAGCAUCUAAGCACGAAACUUGCCCCGAGAUGAGUUCUCCCUGAGACUUUAAGUCUCCUGAAGGAACGUUAAAGACGAUGACGUUGAUAGGCCGGGUGUGUAAGCGCAGCGAUGCGUUGAGCUAACCGGUACUAAUGAACCGUGAGGCUUAACCUU
rnacentral:rRNA from 1 species